AGCAGCCGCGGUAAUUCCAGCUCCAAUAGCGUAUAUUAAAGUUGUUGCAGUUAAAAAGCUCGUAGUUGAAUUUCGGGGUUCUACCGUUGGUCGGGCAAUUGUCUGUACUGGCGUGUGGAAUUUCUACCUUCUGGAGAACCAUCAUGUUAUUAAUUUAGCGUGGUGGGAAACCAGAACCUUUACCUUGAAAAAAUUAGAGUGUUCAAAGCAGGCUUACGUCUGAAUACAUUAGCAUGGAAUAAUAAAAUAGGACGGUGGUCCUGUUUUGUUGGUUUCUGAAUCACCGUAAUGAUUAAUAGGGAUAGUUGGGGGCAUUAGUAUUCAAUUGUCAGAGUGAAAUUCUUGGAUUUAUUGAAGACUAACUUCUGCGAAAGCAUUUGCCAAGGAUGUUUUCAUUAAUCAAGAACGAAAGUUAGGGAUCGAAGACGAUCAGAUACCGUCGUAGUCUUAACCAUAAACUAUGCCGACUAGGGAUCGGGACGAUGUUAAUUUUUCUGUACUCGUUCGGCGUCCUUACGGG
rnacentral:rRNA from 1 species